UAGUGUUCAACCCUCACUGUGCAUGAA
rnacentral:piRNA from 1 species